ensembl:snoRNA U3 Small nucleolar RNA U3
ACGACUAUUCUUUCAGGGAUCGUUUCUAUAGUUUCUGACUUGAGAAAUGCGUUUCUAAUUUGUUUGGUCUCAACUGAGCGCGACGCGGGCACAGAGAAGUGAUUCAGUUCACAUGCUCUAUGUCAUUGACAAUAAAAAUAUAAAUCUUGAAUUGAUGACCGUUCUUUACACCCUAGUGGAGUAUAGAGGUGGGGAAUAUAGACUUA